rnacentral:rRNA from 1 species
CCCUGCCAUUUGUACACACCGCCCGUCGCUCCUACCGAUGGAAUGAACAGGUGAAGUUGAAGGACUGGUCGGCUUUUGCUGUCUGGAAAUUUACAUGAACCUUUUUAUUUGUAGGAAGGAGAAGUCGUAACAAG